AAGGCAAAACUUAUCCAGGUAUAGAAGUUUAAUUUGAUUACAUUAAAUAUGACUUUAACAUUUAAUAAUUUAGUUCUAGCCAAAUUGUUUCCCCAAGUCAUCAUUUGAGGGGUUCCUGAUUCCUGAGGAUCUCAUUGUUUUCUCCUUGAAAGCACUCAGAUCCUUUGUUUGUUAAGGGGUGGCUUUGCUGGUGUGGCUAUGGGUUAUACCUUAAUGUUAUGGAAAUGGCACAGUCUGGACUGAGUCCAGCUGAGAUUAGUCAGGAUUUCAGGAUUCUCAUGACGAAAGUAACACUACUGUUAGUGCUAAAUUUUUUUCCACAGGCAAAUUAUUCACGCUGCAUAACAGUUCAGAGUUAAUGACCACCUUGGAACUGAGGGAUUCCAGCAGAGGGUCACGUCCUUGAAAAUGUUCCUAUUUCACAGGGAGGGUCCUGGCCUGGCUCCCUGGCUGAGAUUCCUCACCCAGAAUCCCCACCUCUACUGCCUGCCCUUCAAUUGUCCUGCUUCCCAGCUGGGUUUGAAAGAGAGAGAAAGCAGGCAGAACCCAUUUGGUUCUCAUGUUUCUGGUAGCACCACCCAGUCGGCUCAGAGAAUUAUCUUUAAAAGUUUUAAGAUGUGUGUUCACUUCACAGAUAUUUCUUAAUGGUCUGGUGUCCAUCUGGCAAGGGGACAGGCAUGGCAGAUCCUGGGAUGAGUGAGAUAGACUUGGUGUUCGCUCUCAUGGAGCUUAUCCAGUGAAGAAGACACAAUGGACAAGCUGUUGAAAGGUGAUGAGUUGUGAGAAAGGGCAAGUAGAGGGGGCUAGAAUCUAAACCUGGGGGCACUAACCAACUUUGAGGGGUCAGGGGAGUGCAUGUUGGAGUUGACUGGAUGAAGGCUGGAGAAGAAAACUAUUCCACAUGGAAGGAACCAUUUCUAUAAAGUCCCUCAAGCAGAAAAGCCAGUCAUGUUGGAGGAACUACCAGAGGCCAGUAGGUCUGAGCAAUGAAAGUGGAAGAAGGCCUCUUACAUGUGGCUGAAGAAGGAGGCCAUCAGGUCAUGGGAGAUCCUGAGAGGUAUGGCAAGGAUUUUGGACUUUAUACCCAGAGCAGCAGUAAACUGUGAAGGAUUUUAGGCUGAGCAGUGACCAGAUAAGACAUACUCAUUCCUAAUAACUGCUUAUUCUCCCAUGGUUCUUCACCAUCUCCAGUAUCCCUCCAGCACCAUCAUGGGGGUGCUCUCCAAGGUGCUGUAUGCCUCGUGGCUCUGAAUCAUCCCCACUGUCAGGCUGCACACUGAGUAGCCCACACCCAAACCUAGUUUCUAAGGUUGAGCAUCAGCCUCUGAAGUUUAAGGGGAAUAAAAGAGGUGCAGGGAACACCCAUGGACACAGCCCCCUUCUUUCCUUGCCCACACUGUUGUCAACAUGCCCUCCUGUGUGACUGCACCAUGCAGCCCAUCAGAACAGAGCCACUACAGGAGCCAGAAAUGUCAGAGAAAAAGAAAAGGCAUACAAAAUGUAAGCAGGUCUGCCUUCCCCAAAGUUUAUUUUACUAUACUGCUUCCCAACUAAAAGGAAGAAUAUAUUUUUUUUUCUUGAGAAUAUAGAAACACUUUAUUUGUUCAGGUUCUCAGAGUUUAGAACCAGCAUAAUGAAAGGACUUCAGAAAAAUUAUAUUGCUAAUCUAUUUAUAUGUAUUUUUGUGUGUGUCUGCUUGGACACAUAUAAUAUGUGCUCCAUUUCAUACGGUAUGAUAAUGGAACAACAACUAGGCAGCAUGUUAUGUGAGUGGCUUUGCAGGUUCUCUACAUGAUGUGCCAGGCUCACUGCUAGGCAGUGGAGUUCAUAAAGGUGAACAAAUUCUUCUCUCAGGUACUUAGCAGACUACAGAGGACAUGGAAUAUGUGCACAGUUUAUGAAAAUGAGAUCUCCACCUUAUGUAAGGAAAAUAUGUAAUAUUUUCAGAGUCUAUGGCUAACUGCUCUUAAAAACAGGACAACAGGCCCCAAAUGGAGUCACUAAUGCUAAGCCCCACGUCCCAAACCAAGACUUAAUUACAGUUUUGGCUCUCCCGGAAAUGGAAUCUCAAACCAGGCUAUCAGGAAUUGCCUGAUCAGCACUAGUUAAUCUGCCUGAUAGACCCCUGUCCUCCCCUAAACGAAAGUAAUGUUGCAAUAACCAACCUUCUUUUUACCUAAUAUAACUUCCUUGUUUCUGCUUCCUUCUGCCUACAAAAUUCUCUCAUUUUGUACAUUCCCUUCGAGCUCCUUUCUGUCUCCUAGGAGGGAUGCUGUCCAAUCGAAUUGAUUUUUGCUUAAAGAAGCUCUUAAAAAUUUCAAUAUGCCUCAGUUUAUCUUUUAACAGCUCUGGUGUGAGAAGAGGGAACUUAAGGAGACCCCCCAAAAGCCCCAAGAAGCAAAAGCAACCAGACUUGGUUACCUGCUGAGCCCUUGAACUCUGCUUUCCUGGUGCCUCUGGAGGUGAAAAAAAGGGGUCUCAGCCAGAUAUUCAUCAUAAAGCAUAGAGGGAAAAUGAUUUUUCCUCCUCUAAAAUUUUUGGUGACCAGGAUGGGACCAGCUGGGACACCCUACUCACUGCAGACAGGAUCCUAGGAGAACUGGCAGAAGCCAUCAAAGAGACUGGAAACUCUUCAGUUGCCAGCAACUUAAAAAAUCAGGUAAAUUAGGAAAGCCAUCUCCUAGCAGGUGCAGAAAUCUCAAAGUAUUUUGGGGACCUUGAAAAGGGAGGAAUUCACCCAAAUAUGUAGAUAACUCAGGUGAAAUCAUUGACAAGCCUUUGCCAUGGCUUUCCUGGCCUUGACAGGCCUUUUAAAAAUUCAAUCCGAGGUGCCAAAUAAUAGGUUCCAGCAAAGCCAAUUUCAGAUGAGCCUGUAUGAGUAACUACACUUCUGUAAAUCAUCAAGCCAAGAUUUUUGAAGCCAGAAUUAUUUAGCAAACAAAUUAGUCUUAAUUUGGCUAUAUUUGGUAGAAAUGAGGGUAAUUUUAGAGAGAAAAAGAUCAUGUUUCUAUGGAGAGUAAAUUCAAGUUUUGUUAAUUGAGGUCUAUAUUUACUAAGAGCCACUUCCCAAAUAUCUCCUUUUUAUUAUAUUCUUGUAAAUUUUAGCUGAAUCAUUAAAAGGACACUCUAGUUUGUUACUGAAGUUUUUCUCAUUAAUCCAUCUUUGGAUGAAGAUCAUAUGCCCCAUGACCUGCAACCAGGGGAUUAUGCAUACUGGAGAAGACGUCAUUUAAAGACUGUCUCCAACCUAGAUGGUAGGACCCUUAUCAGGUCCUCUUCACUAGCUCAUGCACAGUGAACCUGAAGGGAAUUGACUCUUGGAUUAAUAUUUCCACUUAAAAAGGGCCCCUGAAAUGGACUGGCCUAUACAGAGCACUGCUGACCUCAAAAUCACCUUAAAACAAUGCUCAAACAGAGGAGAAACUACCAGACCACGAUGGUAAGAAGAAGACAUCUAAAGUAGACAGCUGAUCCAAGAUGCCAAACCCGGCCUGUAUACCAGUUACUUUGAUAAUUGCUUACACUUGCUUAUGAACUAAACGUAUUUCACAAUCUUAAGCAGAGUUAAAAUUAAUUGAAUUGUUGAGUUUAUGGUCAAUUAUCUAUAUCCAGUACUUCUGGUUACCUUGGUGGAUUUCUCCACUCCAAGGCUCUAAUUGGAUGGCCCUUAGGAAAUUAUUCUAGAAGAAAGAAGUUAUAGUUCUGUUUGGGCCACUAUUGAUAUUACUGGAUGGGACUCCCUCACUUGGCCAAUCAAUCAUAGUUGCUCUGACCAUUGCCAUAAAUAUAAAAGACCCCCCUUAUGUUGGGAACAAUUCAACCAUACUAAGGGUAGCCAGGCUAAAUAAUACAAGGAAAUGUGUCUGGGUGCCUUAUGAACAAUGCCAGUAUAUCAUUUCCUUUAAAGGUAAGGAUUGGUACAGAACAGAUUAAGUCAGAUGACCUAGGGGUAUACUGUGUGGAACCUAAUGGAAGUUCUUGGCUUAAAUUCUUACUUAUAACCUUACAAAUACUACUAGCUAUAUUACUUGUAUUCUACCUAUUUUAUAAGAUUGUUGUUUCUUUCCUUACCAAAUAUGUGACUGAGCCUCUGAUAAAAUAAUAAGAAGGUGACUUAAGGCUGUUGACCAGAUAUAUAGUUCUAUACAAGAUCAAUGAUGGUAAUAGUGUAACUUUAGAUAUGGAAAGAAGCAUCAAGAGGGAAUGAUUUCCUGGACCAUAACAGACUAGUAAAUCAGUGGUCCAGAGACUUUUGGCUAUAGUUAAUAGGGCCUAGUCCAGUAAUAGCACACUGAGUGGCCUAUCAGUGAGAUCUUUGCCUGGGACAAAAUGAUGAUGAAAUGCCUCCCAAACCAUGGUCGAAUUUAUGACCAUGAGAGGGCACUGCCAACUAAAAAUGGUCACUUGCCAUCUGUCACUACAAGUAUGAUAUCACUAGCCAAUGCAGUCACUGACUUUUGACACACCCUGAAAAGAGUUCAUGGUGGAGAUCAGGAAUGAGGUACUCCGUGCUCUGGAAGGAUCUGGCAGAACAGGUCUUCAGAUAGUUAGAUAUUUUCAGGAGAAGAUUUCAUGAACCUGAUUUCUUGCUUCUUCCUAUAUCUAGAAAGUAUCUAGAAAAUCACUAAAAUCAUUAACGGAGACAUCUGCUCCUCAUGACUAGCAGCAACCUUCUUGUGACCGGCAGCAACCCUCUGCCAGAAAUGUGUACUUGAUUGCAUGUAUCCCUCUUCACUAAAAUCACGUAUAUACUGACCUCCCUCCACCUCUUUAGAGCAGUUCCUCAGAGAUAUCUGAGAGGCUUCUCCUGGGCUAUAGUCCUCAUUUUGCCCCAAAGAAAACUUAACUCACAACUCUCACAUUGUGCAUUGUUUUUCAGUCGACACCUUCAAACUAAAAAUUUAAAAUAAAAUGUCUUCAUUUUUGACAAGCA